rnacentral:rRNA from 1 species
AUUGAACGCUGGCGGCAUGCCUUACACAUGCAAGUCGAACGGUAACGGGCCUUCGGGUGCCGACGAGUGGCGAACGAGUGAGUAAUGUAUCGGAACGUACCUUUCAGUGGGGGAUAACGUAGCGAAAGUUACGCUAAUACCGCAUAUUCUGUGCGCAGGAAAGCAGGGGAUCGCAAGACCUUGCGCUGAUUGAGCGGCCGAUAUCAGAUUAGCUAGUUGGUGAGGUAAAGGCUCACCAAGGCGACGAUCUGUAGCGGGUCUGAGAGGAUGAUCCGCCACACUGGAACUGAGACACGGUCCAGACUCCUACGGGAGGCAGCAGUGGGGAAUUUUGGACAAUGGGGGCAACCCUGAUCCAGCCAUGCCGCGUGAGUGAAGAAGGCCUUCGGGUUGUAAAGCUCUUUCGGCCGGGAAGAAAUCGUAUGGGCUAAUACCCUGUGCGGAUGACGGUACCGGCAUAAGAAGCACCGGCUAACUACGUGCCAGCCGCCGCCGUAAUAC